AGAGUUUGAUCCUGGCUCAGAUUGAACGCUGGCGGCAUGCCUUACACAUGCAAGUCGAACGGCAGCACGGGAGCAAUCCUGGUGGCGAGUGGCGAACGGGUGAGUAAUGUAUCGGAACGUACCUUUCAGUGGGGGAUAACGUAGCGAAAGUUACGCUAAUACCGCAUAUUCUGUGAGCAGGAAAGCAGGGGAUCGCAAGACCUUGCGCUGAUUGAGCGGCCGAUAUCAGAUUAGCUAGUUGGUGAGGUAAAGGCUCACCAAGGCGACGAUCUGUAGCGGGUCUGAGAGGAUGAUCCGCCACACUGGAACUGAGACACGGUCCAGACUCCUACGGGAGGCAGCAGUGGGGAAUUUUGGACAAUGGGGGCAACCCUGAUCCAGCCAUGCCGCGUGAGUGAAGAAGGCCUUCGGGUUGAAAAGCUCUUUCAGCCGGGAAGAAAUCACAUGGGUUAA
rnacentral:rRNA from 1 species